UACGUAGGGGGGCUAGCGUUGUCCGGAUUUAUUGGGCGUAAAAGAGCGUGUAGGCGGCCAAGUAGGUCCGGUGUGAAAACUCGAGGCUUAACCUCGAGAUGUCAUCGGAAACCAUUUGGCUAGAGUCCGGAAGAGGAAAGUGGAAUUCCUGGUGUAGCGGUGAAAUGCGCAGAUAUCAGGAAGAACACCAAUGGCGAAAGCAGCUUUCUGGGACGGUACUGACG
rnacentral:rRNA from 1 species